CAGGAAGGUAACACUCUUGCUGAUCAUUUUACUAACUUGAUUUUUGAUUUUGUACGGUAUUUCUACUUUACUAAUUUUGAUGACAUACCAACUGAAGGAAGAAGGAUAAUAAACUUUGAAAAGCAAGGUGUACCACAUAUCAGAAGAACUAUGCUGAAUAGAUGACAAUAACAAAUUCAAGGCCACAAGUGAAUAAUAUAAUCAGAUCUUAGAGGAACAUCACUAGAAUUACCUCUGUCAGAAGUGAUUUUGUAGGAUAGGACUGUCUUCGUCUUAUGAGAGUUUUAGGCAACAUUGAUGAAACUAUGUGGUCAUUGGUCAUUCUAAGUGAAAAACUCUUUAUAUCUGAGAAAAGAUCAAUAACUUGUACCAAGAAAUUGUAGAUUAGCUUAAAGUUGUAUUUUCAAGCCUGACAUUUUAAAAUUUGGUGGUGGUAUUAACUUUGAAUAAAGUUCAAUCCAUUGUUUAAGAAAUAUUAUGUAAGAAAACAUGGAAUUAGGGAAUAAAUCAACUUGCUUUGAUGAAGCUGAAAGAUGAAAUAUGGACAUUUCAUCGAUCUUGAUAGAUGUUGGUCCACGAAAUAUUGAAGUCGAUGCAUCAAUUUUAAAGCAAUGAGAGACGGCUUCAUCCACAUUCAUGCUCUUGAGAGAAUUGGAAGAAGGUUCAAGAAAGUAAUGUUGCUGAUGUCUCAGCUUUCCUAAUAUGUAGAGUGGCUUAUCUGGAUACAUUUUUGGGCCAAGUUUUGGUAUUUAUUGUAGUUGCAUUAUUUAAUUUAUUGAAUGGCUUGAUAGCCUUCUUUUAAGAAAAAAAUAAAAUAAUGAGAGUCCGGAGAUGGUCAGUGGGGCGAGCACUAACAUGUAACCCAAGAACAAGGGAUAAAAUAAUGCUUUUAUCAAAAUUCAGUCAUAAAACCAUAUGCCAAACAAUUAUAUAUUCAUAUAUAUAGGAUGUCGGUGUAGGAACAAUCAACAUGAAACAUGAGUAUUUAAAAUAUUAACAUGAACUAUGUAACUCAUAUCGACAUUUCAGGCACCCAUUGGCUAUAUGGGUUUGGCCUCUUCCUGCCGGAAGGUCCAAUCCAUGUUAGCCGCAUGUACCAAGGAAUUCCUAAAGACAUUAAGGCGAUAACUAUCCAAAAUAUAAUAUGUAUCCAUACAAAUAGUCAUAUAGACCCCAAUGUUGGCAAACAUGAUUUUCAGUAUUGGCCUCCCUGAGACUAUACCUUCUUAGUGAGCUACACAAUUCUCUUUAAGCCCAAAUUAAAAUGAUUUGCACAUAAUACAACCAUUAACCAAGGAGUCUUUUAUUAAGGCAUUUUAUAACUUGAUAUUGUCAUAUAAAUAGGCUUGCA
rnacentral:lncRNA from 1 species